rnacentral:rRNA from 1 species
GUGCUGCAUGGCUGUCGUCAGCUCGUGUUGUGAAAUGUUGGGUUAAGUCCCGCAACGAGCGCAACCCUUAUCCUUUGUUGCCAGCGAUUCGGUCGGGAACUCAAAGGAGACUGCCAGUGAUAAACUGGAGGAAGGUGGGGAUGACGUCAAGUCAUCAUGGCCCUUACGACCAGGGCUACACACGUGCUACAAUGGCGCAUACAAAGAGAAGCGACCUCGCGAGAGCAAGCGGACCUCAUAAAGUGCGUCGUAGUCCGGAUUGGAGUCUGCAACUCGACUCCAUGAAGUCGGAAUCGCUAGUAAUCGUGGAUCAGAAUGCCACGGUGAAUACGUUCCCGGGCCUUGUACACACCGCCCGUCACACCAUGGGAGUGGGUUGCAAAAGAAGUAGGUAGCUUAACCUUCGGGAGGGCGCUUACCACUUUGUGAUUCAUGACUGGGGUGAAGUCGUAACAAGGUAACCGUAGGGGAACCUGC